rnacentral:lncRNA from 1 species
UGGAGUGGUCGCAAAUAAUAUAAAGUAUUUUUAUUUUAUUUGAGUUUUUCCACUACUGUGGUCGCAAAACUAAUUUAAAAUUAUUUAUUUAUUUAUAUUCCGACUACUGUGGUUGCAAAUCUAAUUUAAUAUUUUUUUUAAUUUAAUUUUUCCACUACAGCAGUCGCAAAUGUUCGUAGAAAUUUUUUGAUAGAUUCCAGCUCUUUUAAAGCACCACCGGCUGCCAAUUCAAAUAUACAGCAACUAACCAAUUAAUCUACCAUGCGAACCAAUUAUUCCACAAUGUCAACCAAUCAAUCCGCCAUUUCAACCAGUCAAUCUACCAUUGCAACUAAUCAAAUCCAUAAAAUGCAAAACAUAAAUAUUUGUAACUAAAAUAUUCAAAAAGAGUUAAACAAUAUUGCAUUUUUUUUGUGGGUGAGAUAUUGCGUUUAUCCAUUAAUUUCAUUUGUCAAACAAUAUUUUAUUCCUUUUCUUAAUUUUAUGUCAUAUAUAUGAGUUUAUCCGUAAACAGAUUAAUAGAAAUUUAUUAUAACAUCUGUGAGAUACUGGUGUUUAUCUUUUUCUUUGUCAGUCAGUAUAUUGUUUUCCAAAAUUAACUGAUCAAUAAUUAACGGAUUAAUAAAAAUUAGUUAGUUGUCCUGAUUAAGCUUAAAAAUGUACGAACUAUUACAUCAUACACCCUAGUACUCUAAUCGCAUACCAUAAGGUUUUGUAAAUACCACCAAACAAACAUAAUGUGUUUCCUUCCGAACGUUGCCUUAUUUAUUUCCUUGUUAAAACUUUUACCGGAAGUAAUUUAUUGGAUAGCAAAUUUUUCGUUUGUCCCGUUUUUAUGACAUUACUAUCUUAUAUAUGGAUUCAAGCAACUUUUCUCUUAGACUACAAUAUGUUGCAAUACUUUAAAGUAGUUUGUUAUAAAAGCUGUAAUUUAUAGUACUUUUGUAUAAAGUAGUUUGGUAUCUGUGCUUGGAAAUAUAUAUAUUAUUCUUCUUCUUUCUUUUGCUGUAAAUUGUUUUUGAAACAGAAUGUUAGUUCAAUAUGCAUAAAGGUAGAACCUAUGUAACUUUUUCAAUCUCCCAAACUUACCUUCACAUGAUUUGCCCAAAUGUCAGGGACCACUGAUGGUAGAACCAUUAAACACGUGCUUCCUCGCAUCAUCAUAUAGGAUAUUUACGAUGAUCGACGUUUCAUCAUCUGUCUAUUUAUCAGCAGAAGCACCACGUGAUUUAUCAGUUGAACCACGUGGUCUAUUCAUUCUUUUACGUUUCUACAAUACAAUAAUAAUAGGGCAACAUAUCACAUGCCUAACUUCAUUUUCUUAGAGUGCAUAAAAUCCAAAAGCAUACCUUAAACUAUAUGGAAGGCAUACUAAUACAAGCAGAAGGAUUAAAAUUUAAAGUAUGUUAUCCUAUUAACCGGUAGAGGCAGAGCCACAAAAUUCUCAUCGGAAAUCUCAAAACUAGCUUCAGGUAUUAUGGGCAUUACAAAACUUUAAAAGCAAGGCCAAAACAUUAGCUGCAUCAGCCGAAUGAUACAAAAAAAAUAAAGCAUAAAGAUGCUAUAUAAAAGGGAAAGAAAUUAUUUUUUUGAGUUGCGUCUGCUUCCCAAUAUCCAAAUUGCAUAACCACAUAAACAUCUGGGCUGAAAAGAGUAACUUUUCCGACCAACACAAGACCACAGUUUCAAUCAAACACAACCGGAAAAAAAAAAGAAAUAAAGAGAAAUAGCCAUUUAUCGUCAUCACAAGCAAAGAUUAGUCAAUGUAGGAGAUGAGAGACCUCAUAUACAUAGGAGGGUUUACAAAUCUGAAGAAAAACUCAUACAAAUCAAGCAAAACAAAUCUGAAAAAAAUUCAUACAGAACUAGUGAAACAAAUCCGAAGAAAAUUCAUACAAAUCUGCAGAAAAUUUAAACAAGUAUUAGCAGAUUUUACCAAAUUACCUUCAAAUUUCGUCUUUGUUGUGGAUUGCAAUCGAUUGGCACGGAGAAUUUGCGGUGGA